UAUUAAGUAAUAGUGAUGCAGUAAUACCAGUCUACAAUGCAGUUCUGUUCUUACGUUACAGAAGCAGAUGCACUUUUGUCAGAAAUGGUGUCUGUGGUAUCAUUCACGAGGCAAUUGUUGCAACAUUGAAGAAUGUGAUUGCAAUAUUUGCCAUUUUAUAUAUGUUAACGGAAGCUGUUGACUGGUUCAGUAGUCAUCCACUGGUAUUGAAAAACGGAAUAGGAACAAUAGGCGUUUCUCUCGGUGGAGAAAUUGGACUGUGCAUGGCUGCUUACACAAGAAACAAACACAAGAUAAAGGCCGUGGUUUGCAUCAAUGGCAAUUCUAUCCACGGUUCAUUCAUACAGUAUGGGGAUAAGCCUUUUCCUAAUAGGAGGAUAU